UGGGGUAUAGCUCAGUGGUAGAAUGUGUGCUUAGCAUGCAUGAGGUCCUGGGUUCAAUCCCUAGUGCCUCCA
rnacentral:tRNA from 1 species